CGACCAACGAAAACUCCUCGAAUGCCUUCACCUUCGCUAAAUGCGCCGUCAGACUUUCCGUAGACAUCGCCGACGUCAGAUAUAAUUGUGGGGUGCUACCACGAAUGUGGGUGGGCGUUGGGAACCGAACGCAGAGCAGCAUGACCAUGUCCGAGCCAGUUGACGAUGCCAAGGCGCUGCGGUGGGUUUAUCUCAACAUUGACACCAUUUUCACAUGGGUAUACGUAUGCACGUACGUAUACACACAAUAGAACCUACUAUUGACGCCAACUACAAUGAGAUAAUUAUUAAUAUACGCUAUAUUGUGUGAUGAGUAAUCGCUAUAAUUGACUGUGAAUAAAUUAUGUUCGAUCAGCGUCGAUAUGGUCCAUCUGUCACGAGCAUUCCAGUCGACUUGAGAAAUGGUCGAGGAAAUCUUACUGAUGGCAUUUCGUGCUCUCCUAAUCUUUUUUUCGAUAAAAUUAGUAACCAGCGAGAGAUGAAGAAAAAAUUAACAAUUCUAUAAAUAUGUACCUACUAAUACCGGACAAUGCUCUAAGGAUAGAUUGACUCAUAGUGGCAUACGCUGAAAACUGUUGCAAAACACCACAAACCAACUUGAGUCAUACUGACAUCACGAAUGGGGAUGUGAGUGGCUUUUGCAGUCUUCCGAUUUUUUCUUUACUUGUCGAAUUCGAAAAUCCAUUUGGAUUUGAGCCUAUACAGAUAUGAUGCGCUACUAAAUCUGAAUUUGUACAGAAUUAGUACUAGACUAGCGUACGUUUGACGCUAGCGGGUCUCCGCAAGAUCUAUGUAACUUGCUAAUAAAUUGAUAUUCUUUAUCCUAGAGGCGUGAAUCGAUAGAAUCGAAUCGAUAGAAUUGAAAUGCGCUAGGAGGAUGUCACUGAUUAACUAAAUCAUGUGAACGACAAAAUUUAUUUCUCUAUUAGCAGUUCAAAUGGCACUUGAACAGAACAUUAAUGAACGACACUUUCGUACUAAUCUAUUAUAUUAUAGUAUAAUGCUAUAUGAAUGAGAUUUAUUCAUUUAAUUGAUUUCUUAAUUAAAAUACAUUAACUAUUA